UUCAGCGAUUCUUGAGCGAGGGUCACACCCGUUCCCAUUCCGAACACGGCAGUUAAGCCUCGCUUCGCCGAUGGUACCUGGCCUCCGGGUCCGGGAGAGUAGGGCGUCGCUGGAU
rnacentral:rRNA from 1 species